AGUGGACGCUGGCGGCGUGCUUAACACAUGCAAGUCGAACGGGCAAGAGCCGUAGCAAUACGGAGUUCUGCUAGUGGCAAACGGGUGAGUAAUACAUGGGAAUCUACCUUGGAGUCUGGGAUAACAGUCGGAAACGACUGCUAAUACCGGAUAUAACCGAGAGGUAAAAGAUUUAUCGCUCUAAGAUGAGCCCAUGGAGGAUUAGCUAGUAGGUAGGGUAAAGGCCUACCAAGGCGACGAUCCUUAGCUGGUCUGAGAGGAUGAUCAGCCACACUGGAACUGAGACACGGUCCAGACUCCUACGGGAGGCAGCAGUGGGGAAUAUUGGACAAUGGGCGAAAGCCUGAUCCAGCGACGCCGCGUGGGUGAUGAAGGCCUUCUGGUUGUAAAGCCCUUUCAGUGGGAAAGAUAAUGACGGUACCCACAGAAGAAGCUCCGGCAAACUUCGUGCCAGCCGCCGCGGUAA
rnacentral:rRNA from 1 species